CUGGAAUGAUGCAUUUUAGCCAAAUCAUACGUUGAUGUGCUCCUUAUGGCAUUGUUGUCUAAGCUUGUGCUAGUUAUCAUUCAGUCACAUCGGUGGUCUUUCUAUGCACAUGUUCAAGCUUUAGAUGGCAGUCUGUUUGUAGAAGCGCAUCUCUGAUGAUAACACAGAGAAUGGUUGCACACUGACCAGA
rfam:Vitis vinifera, whole genome shotgun sequence of line PN40024, unoriented chromosome 14, chr14